UUCCAGACUCCUACGGGAGGCAGCAGUGAGGAAUAUUGGUCAAUGGCCGAGAGGCUGAACCAGCCAAGUCGCGUGAGGGAAGACGGCCCUACGGGUUGUAAACCUCUUUUGCCGGGGAGCAACGGGGUCCUUGCGAGGGCCCGAUGAGAGUACCCGGAGAAAAAGCAUCGGCUAACUCCGUGCCAGCAGCCGCGGUAAUACGGAGGAUGCGAGCGUUAUCCGGAUUUAUUGGGUUUAAAGGGUGCGUAGGCGGGCUGUUAAGUCAGCGGUCAAAUGUCGGGGCUCAACCCCGGCCUGCCGUUGAAACUGGCGGCCUCGAGUGGGCGAGAAGUAUGCGGAAUGCGUGGUGUAGCGGUGAAAUGCAUAGAUAUCACGCAGAACUCCGAUUGCGAAGGCAGCAUACCGGCGCCCAACUGACGCUCAGGCACGAAAGCGUGGGUAUCGAACAGGAUUAGAUACCCGAGUA
rnacentral:rRNA from 1 species